rnacentral:lncRNA from 1 species
UUAAGUCAUUCAUAAUAGAUGAUCAUCAUCUGACUUCGAUCAGAUAAUUAUAAGUAUACAUAAGUCGGCCUUGGGUGAGUAGAUAACCAAAGUAUUAAUAGACAUUGAUUGAUCUCAGCCAAAAUAAUAAAACCGAGGCAGCCAAAUGUAAGCUUGCUAUUGACUUGAACUAAAUCAAAUUAAUUGACUUGAAAUAAUUCAAUCUUUGAUAAUUCAUCCUAAAGAAGUAAGGAGGACCUUUGUUUGAGUUCGGAAUGGC